UGCUGUUGGAGGGAGGAUGUGGGGCUCGGUGACCUUUCAUCUCGCCCUGCGUGGCACUUCAGGCACUCGGGUUACCCACAGGUCUUUUAGUAGGUGGCGUAUUGACUUUAGUCACAAAGGUCCAUCUUUUCAGCGCUCCACGGCCACGCGCAGAGCAUNGAUUUGAAAUUCCUGAUGGAGAUGCAGAAAAGUUAAUGUGUCCACAAGAGAUUGUAGAUUACAUUGCAGAUAAGAAGGAUGUUUAUGAAUAAAAACAGUUCUUCAAAGCUGAGCGAUGAUGUCUCUACCACCAGGACUGGGCUGGUGUCAGCGGGUAUGAAUAUAAACGCACAUGCUGCACCGUUGCUGCUUUCAUCAGAAAGUUGUACUUGGAUGUUGUAUUUAAAGCUGUCUGAAUAUGUUGUCCUUUAAAAACAAGAAAAAAAAGGAAUAAAUAUGUAAGAAAGACCAU
rnacentral:lncRNA from 1 species